UUCAUCUUGAUGAUAAUUUUAAUCUGACAACUAUGCUGAGUAAACAAACGAAUUAAACCAAAAGGAUACUGAUAAAAU
rfam:Drosophila mojavensis strain TSC#15081-1352.22 Ctg01_10183, whole genome shotgun sequence.